rnacentral:rRNA from 1 species
UACAGAGGGUGCGAGCGUUAAUCGGAAUUACUGGGCGUAAAGCGCGCGUAGGCGGCUUUGCAAGUCGGGUGUGAAAUCCCCAGGCUUAACCUGGGAACUGCAUUCGAGACUGCAUUGCUAGAGUAUGGGAGAGGGAAGUGGAAUUCCCUGUGUAGCGGUGAAAUGCGUAGAGAUGGGGGAGAACACUCGUGGCGAAGGCGGCCAGCUAGACCAGUUCUGACACUGAGGCGCGAUAGCGUGGGGAGCAAACAGG